AUUUAAUUUAAGUCUCUUUCUAAGGGCAGGAGCUGUGUCAUCUUCUUUUGGUCCGUCUAUAGUGUAUGCAGUGCAUCCCAGACUGAACACUUAACUAACCAUACAUUCCUGAUGACUUGACUCUGGGAAGAUAGCACCACUCACUCACAAGAUAGCGCUACUCACUUACAAGAACAGAACAGGUACUUUUGAAAGAUUUCCCAAGUGGUGACAAAAAUGGUCACAGACUAUUGAAAAUCUCUAAUUCCAUCAUCCUUUUGACCCAUGCCAUACAUAUAAACAUGAGAAAUUGGGAUUACAUCUUCAUUCAUCAGGAGUGGGACAGAAUUUACAACUGUACCUAAGACAAACUGACUCACUGAAAACUACUUAGUGAUCUCAGUAGCUGGACCCGCUGUAGUAAAGGCAACUUAGCCAGGGGAGGGGAAAGUAGGAGAUUCAAUCUAUUUCUUUCAAAGCUGAAUGAGAAACUCAAAAUGUGUUCAUAGUAUGUAUUUCCAUUGUUAGGGGGAAAAAAAGAGAGGUGAGCUCAGCUUUCAUUUCAUAAAAGUUAAACAUACAAGAGGGGAAAAAAGGAAUCCAUUGUUUAUGCUCACUUCAGAAGAGAACAUUGAAAGUCAAGGGGGUGUGUCUGGUGGUUUUGCAAAGAGAUGCCUCUGGGGAUGUCUACAAUCAAUGUCGUCAGCAUAAAGUCGCUGUCAUUGCUAUAGUGAAGGGCAAAU
rnacentral:lncRNA from 1 species